rnacentral:rRNA from 1 species
AUUGAACGCUGGCGGCAGGCCUAACACAUGCAAGUCGAACGAGUGGCGGACGGGUGAGAGAUGUCUGGGAAGCUGCCCGAUGUAGGGGGAUAACUCCUGGAGACGCUAGCUAAUACCCCGUACCAUCGGAUGUGACCACAUGGGAUUAGCUAGUAGGUGUGGUAACGGCUCACCUAGGCGACGAUCCCUAGCUGGUCUGAGAGGAUGACCAGCCACACUGGAACUGAGACACGGUCCAGACUCCUACGGGAGGCAGCAGUGGGGAAUAUUGCACAAUGGGCGCAAGCCUGAUGCAGCCAUGCCGCGUGUAUGAAGAAGGCCUUAGGGUUGUAAAGUACUUUCAGCGGGGAGGCGUUACUCGCAGAAGAAGCACCGGCUAACUCCGUGCCAGCAGCCGCGGUAAUUC